GUAGGACAGAGAAACACGCCCGUUUCAACACUAACUGCUAAAUACGGAAACAGAGGGAAAGUCGAGGAGGAGGAGUUGAAGGAGGUGACGGUCGCCUGAGAUACAGCGUCCGUCGCAGAAAGCAUGUUUAAAGCUCAGAAGAAAGUCUCCAGCGACAGAGAGAGAGAGAGAGAGAGACAUCCAGACGGAACAAGACAAAAGAUUCUAAACGUCUUGGUGGACUGAACCAAAACACACGAAGAAACCUCCGUCCGCAGCAGCACAAAGAAAAGGCCCGUGAGGAAAUCAGCAGGAGACUUGGACAUGUGCAACAGUGGAGUCUUUUGGUGAGUUCCAUUCAGGAAGUGUACAAAUACAUAAAUAUCCCACAGAGUUCCAGACGUGUUCCUACAGGAUGCUGAUGCUGGAACUUUCAUCCACCUUCUACUGUAGGAUCAACAAACGCCUGAAGUCAAACAAUUGUUUUGACAUGGAACACAAAGACACAGUACGUUUUCUAAUUUAGAAAUCACACACAAGGUUAGCAUGUUAUCGACAUAAAUAGUCACUGCUGGGUGAAAGGCAACCUUCUGAUAUCAUGUUUUUAAUUUUCCAUAUUUACCUGUUUCCUUGAGUUGGUCUUUCACACAGAUCUCAGUUGACACCGUUGACCUACCUCACCCUGUGGUUUUUUUUGUGGUGUAAUCCAUCACUAACCACUGAACCAACUGUAAGGUCUCAUUGACUGAAAUCACACAGAAAGACUGUAUUUGUACAUCUAUGAAGGUGUGGUUUACCAUGAAAUAUUUCUCUGACUCCAUUGUUCUAAACCUGAACUUUUGACCCACGAUAAUGAAAAGGCCAUAAGUUUAAAAGCAGAUGUUGAAAUGUAUUAUAUUUAUAUUCAACAUUGAAUUGUUAUACUUGGUUGGAUUUUUUUCAAAAUAAAAAAUUCAUGAUUAAUCUAUUUUGAAAUCAGAGCAAACAUCAGCAUUAAACCAACUUAAAUUCAAAUAAAUAAAGAUUUUCUUUCACAAUGUGUCUUGUUAAACUUUUUACAUCCUCCAAAAUAUUUUUGGACUUUUA